CGUUUUAGUUUGAUCCUCGAUUCUGAUUUGGUAGUGUGUAGGGUUUGUUUGUCAGAUCUGUUGCUUAUCCCCUUUUGGGAUCUUCCAUGUGGUAGUCCCCGCAGCGAUUUAUAUGGUGUAGUUAAUGGCAUCAAAUCUCAUAUGUCUUGUGAGCUAGUUGUAGGAUUUGUCUUGUGGGAAUUGAUUUCUCUGUUUGGGUUAGUUGUUUGAAAUCGUCUGGUUGUUACGCGCCGGAAGCUGCUCUGUCACGUAAAUACCAUUCAUGUAUGCUGGCAGAAAUUAGUGUUGCUAAUCCUCUAGAAAAGGGGUGCGGAGGCUUAAUUUGGCCUUUGAAUUCCUCUGUUAUCUCCGCUCAUGAUGCUUCUGCUAUUCUUGUCUGACGAUGAUAAUGAAUUUCAUUUUGGUUUGCUUUGUUCUCUGAUCUGUGCCACUAAUAAAUAGUUUAGUGUUGCUCCAGCUGGUGGUUAAUUAGCUAGCCUGCAGUGUUCCAAUAGAGAGAUGGAUGGGAGAUGAGUAGUAUAUAAUACUACAUAGGUCUGGUCUUCAGUUAGGUCCACAUGUGUCUGUCUGUCUGUUUCCUGUUCUUUGUUUAGUAUCCGGUCUUCCAGUUAGGUCUUCAAUCCCCACACCAUCCCGCUCCCAAACCAACACUCCAGUUGCAGCCAUUUCCCCUGUACUAAUUUCCACUGAAAUUAGUAAUAAGGAUACAUUUGACUGCGUUGCGAUUGUCGCUAGAAUCCGUUACCCUGAAUCCGUCGAACCAGAUGGUCUUUUGUGUACGAGUAGAUUUGAACUGCCAUGGAUCCUCUGUAUUAUUUAUAAUGCAACAAUAACAGUAAUCCUCAUGCAAAGCUAUAGUAAUUUUGAACCACAGUCUUCGAGUUCUUUGUUGCUCGAUCCAAAACUACUGUUGUUUGUGUACAAUGCAUCUUCUGUAUUACUUACAAUGCAACAGGACUUCUAAUUCCACUGGAAAGCUAUAGUAAAUGAGCCAAAACCUCCAAGUUGUUUGCUUCUCCCAGUUUUGGUACUAAACUGCUGCAAUUUCUUUUGUGCAAUGUGUUCUGUAUUGUUUACAGUGUAACAAGAAAUGUAAUUUUCCUGCAAAGUUUUAGUAAUUUUGAACCCUGGCAUCCAUGUUUGUUUCCAAUGCUUUUUUGCAUAUUUUACGGUAAUUCUCCUACAAAGCUACAUUAAUUUUGAACCAUAUCUUUCUUGAUUCCUAUCAUUCCUUCAAGGUCAAAAUAAAUGGAAUUCUAUCAUGUGAAUCCAAAGUAGUACUAUCC
rnacentral:lncRNA from 1 species